rnacentral:rRNA from 1 species
UACGUAGGGUGCGAGCGUUAAUCGGAAUUACUGGGCGUAAAGUGUGCGCAGGCCGCCGAGCAUGUCGAGUGUGAAAGCCCCGAGCUUAACUUGGGAACUGCGCUCGAAACUACUUGGCUAGAGUGUGGCAGAGGGAGGUGGAAUUCCACGUGUAGCGGUGAAAUGCGUAGAGAUGUGGAGGAACACCGAUGGCGAAGGCAGCCUCCUGGGCCAACACUGACGCUCAUGCACGAAAGCGUGGGGAGCAAACAGG